UUGUCUAAGAUAAGCUGGCAGUCUACACCGCAUGGCCUGCGUUGCUGACAUUGAGUGAAGUUAAUGCAGAGUUCCUGUGCCUGACAGAUACUUGAGGAAGCAUCUUGGAGGUUCUCAAGGAGAAGGGAGGUGUUGCCAGAAGGAAGGACUAGAGUGGCGAAGUGAUCCAAAGGCAGACUGCACAUCUACGUGUAUGGUUUGCAAGGAACAUCCCGUGCCAGAGACUGUGAUACAAGGCAUGGAGCUGUACAGUGAACUCGGAGCAUCUCUUGUGCAUGUGUGAUGCUCUUUGGACUCGGUUACCGGUAUAUACCCUCAAUCUCAACUCUGUGGAUUUGGAUUUACAAUUUUAAGUAUCCAGAUGAACUGAAAUAUAUGUUCUGGUGAAUUUGGAAAAUAUGCCCAAAAGGUUCAAUCACUAUAAACUACAGUAAAUAUGUUGGACACUGGCAAUCUCAGGUUCUAAGACAUUGUAUAAAAGGACAAUCCAUCACAUUUCUAUGCAUACUUUUAUGUGCUGUUCUCUGA